UUAACAGCCAUUGUCAAUGACAUUCUGAUUUAUGUGAAAACCAAAGCUGAGUAAAAUCUCACUGCUAUGCUACAGCAUUCCAGUGUGAGUCGAGUCAAGCUUAAAGGGACACUAUAGUCAGGUGAACAACUACAGCUUAUUGAAUUUGUUCUGGUGAGUAGAAUCAUUCCCUUCAGGCUUUUUGCUGUAAACACUGUCUUUUCAGAGAACAUGCAGUGUUUACAUUACGG